rfam:Candidatus Azobacteroides pseudotrichonymphae genomovar. CFP2 DNA, complete genome.
GGGCUUGACUGGCUUUGACAUCGGGUAGAAAUGAUUUGUAAGCAUGUAGUGCGUCGUUGUUCGGCACUUUAAUCUCGGAUGAUAAUUAUAUUAACUGGCGAAAAUUUUUACGCUCUUGCUGCUUAGCAGAAGUUAUAGUAGGUCUAAGCUUUAUUCCGUCUCAAGGAGACCGGAACGAGACAUCACUCAGAAGCUCUGUCUUCGAAGCAAUCUGAAAAAGUGGUGCUGUCCAAUAUCGGAGAUAGUUUGGAGUAAUCCUUGUGCUUCAGAUGAAUUAAAAAGGAUAGGCUCAACAAUUGAGGGAUUCCUUAGUCCUGUGCUGAGUCCAAAAAAUAAAAUAGGGAUAAACAUGUAGAAAUCAAAUUGGUUCCUCGUUUGGACGAGGGUUCGAAUCCCUCCAAGUCCACAC